rnacentral:rRNA from 1 species
ACGUAGGGUGCGAGCGUUAAUCGGAAUUACUGGGCGUAAAGCGUGCGUAGGCGGCUUCGCAAGUCAGGUGUGAAAGCCCCGGGCUUAACCUGGGAAUUGCGCCUGAAACUACGGAGCUAGAGUUUGGCAGAGGGGGGUGGAAUUCCACGUGUAGCAGUGAAAUGCGUAGAUAUGUGGAGGAACACCGAUGGCGAAGGCAGCCCCCUGGGCCAAAACUGACGCUCAGGCACGAAAGCGUGGGGAGCAAACAGGAUUAGAUACCCUGGUAGUCCACGCCCUAAACGAUGUCGACUGGUUGUUGGGGGAGUUCAUCCCUUAGUAACGAAGCUAACGCGUGAAGUCGACCGCCUGGGGAGUACGGCCGCAAGGUUG